UGAUAUAUGAUAUACUAUUAAAAGCAAACAAGUUAAGAUGGUGGCUAUCCUGAAUGGAGGUGGUGCUUAUGGUGUUAAAACUGUAAACUCAGAUUCUAGGAAAGGAGAGGCCUUGUGUCCGUACCGGAUGCAUUACAGCUGAUGAUUAGCUUUGGGAUGUUUAUCCUAGCGUUAAUUACUU
rnacentral:sRNA from 1 species